rnacentral:rRNA from 1 species
AUCUUGCGCAAUGGGCGAAAGCCUGACGCAGCCAUGCCGCGUGAAUGAUGAAGGUCUUAGGAUUGUAAAAUUCUUUCACCGGGGAAGAUAAUGACGGUACCCGGAGAAGAAGCCCCGGCUAACUUCGUGCCAGCAGCCGCGGUAAUACGAAGGGGGCUAGCGUUGCUCGGAAUUACUGGGCGUAAAGGGCGCGUAGGCGGACAGUUAAGUUAGAGGUGAAAGCCCAGGGCUCAACCUUGGAAUUGCCUUUGAUACUGGCUGUCUUGAGUUCGGGAGAGGUGAGUGGAAUGCCGAGUGUAGAGGUGAAAUUCGUAGAUAUUCGGCGGAACACCAGUGGCGAAGGCGACUACCUGGACCAGCACUGACACUGAGGCACGAAAGCGUGGGGAGCAAACAGG